rnacentral:lncRNA from 1 species
UCUAAAUGCACCUUCAGAAUCAGGGAGCCUGGAGUCCCGGGGCAGAAGCCUCAGGCCCAGGGGAGAUUUGGGGGCUGGGGCCUCCUUCCUCCUGCCGCAACAGCAGACCACAGUGCUGUCCAUGGGAGGCCGCAGGCGUUCAGCCCCACUUCCUGUUCCCACAGAGGCCAUCAGGGCUGAGACAACACCCACCAGCGCAGAGGGGACCCAGGGACUCAGCAGGGCCUGGGAAGGCCCACGGCUUCCUGAGGAUGUGUAGGAGAGGCAGAAGCCCCAGCCCUCUCCCCGAGGCUCUGGAUGUCGCCAAGGAGGUGGCCGCUGCAGUGUGGCCCUCUGGGGCUGCCCAGGACAGGAGCCUGAUGAAAAGCGCUUUCCUCCUGAGCGUCCUGCAACUUGCCACACUGUUCUGGAUCUUUCUGCAACCACUCUGCCAGCUCCCAGCCCCGCCUGGAAAAGCACCUGCUGUUUGCAUGACACCCUGGUGACCUGUCCCUGAGUGGUUGGUGGCCGCGUGGCCAGACCCCGGGAUCUGCGUGGCACACAGCAGUGUCUCACCUCAGGGCCAAGCUGGGACAAACCACAGGGGACAGGAGGGGAGGGCAAAAGCUCCCUGCUGCCCCUCUGAAGGAAAUUGACAAUGGGGUGAGGCAGGAGUGGGCAGGCUGCACCCCAGAGAGUGCUUAUGCAAGGUCCUGCCCUUCGGGCCACCCACAGAGGCUGAGUCCUGAGACCCCGGGUCCUCCCACCCGACCUGGCUCUGAUGGAGCAGGUGCACUUGAGCUGUGCAGGAAGAGAGGUUCUCUCCGCACAUGUCCUGGUCAUGGCUGUCACGUCCCCUGCCUGCUGGCUGUUUGCUGCUAUCUGCAAGGUAGCCCAGUGGGUUCUCUUGGGGCCUCCUGCCAUUGCCUUGUCCUCCAGCC